AGGCAUUGCCUUAGUAGCGGCGAGUGAAGCGGCAAAAGCUCAAAUUUGAAAUCUGGCACCUUCGGUGUCCGAGUUGUAAUUUGAAGAUUGUAACCUUGGGGUUGGCUCUUGUCUAUGUUUCUUGGAACAGGACGUCACAGAGGGUGAGAAUCCCGUGCGAUGAGAUGCCCAAUCCUAUGUAAGGUGCUUUCGAAGAGUCGAGUUGUUUGGGAAUGCAGCUCUAAGUGGGUGGUAAAUUCCAUCUAAAGCUAAAUAUUGGCGAGAGACCGAUAGCGAACAAGUACAGUGAUGGAAAGAUGAAAAGAACUUUGAAAAGAGAGUGAAAAAGUACGUGAAAUUGUUGAAAGGGAAGGGUUUGAGAUCAGACUCGAUAUUUUGUGAGCCUUGCCUUCGUGGCGGGGUGACCCGCAGCUUAUCGGGCCAGCAUCGGUUUGGGCGGUAGGAUAAUGGCGUAGGAAUGUGACUUUGCUUCGGUGAAGUGUUAUAGCCUGCGUUGAUGCUGCCUGCCUAGACCGAGGACUGCGAUUUUAUCAAGGAUGCUGGCAUAAUGAUCCCAAACCGCCCGUCUUAAAAAACCGGGACCA
rnacentral:rRNA from 1 species